GCCCGGCAGCCUGGCCUGGAGCCCGCGGGGGCACGGCCCCGGCCCCGGCCCCGGCCCUGCCUCGGGGGCCGCCGCGCCGCGCCGCGCCGGGGGAGCGGAGCUGGAGCCCGGCGCCGACACGCCCCGCAGCGAGCGGGACACAUCCCCCGGAGCACCGACCUAGCGCCCCGGGACCGCCGCCCAGCCCCCCGACCUCACAUUGGACCACUACAGUCUUGAUUUCACUGGAGUCAGUGGAAAUUCUGCCCUUGACUUAAUUUGGAUUGGGCCCAAAGUCCGGCUAGUCCUCUUCUGUACGCAUCCUUCAGUAUAAAUAGAUUAAGCUCCUUGAGUCUAUAAGGCAGGUUUUCUAAUCCUUUAAUCAUUUUUGUGGCUCUUCUCUGAACCCUCUCCAAUGUAUCAACGUCCUUCCUGAAUGGUGGGCACCAGAAUUAGACCCAACAGUCCAGAAGCAGUCACAUCAGUGCCAAAUACAGAGGUAAAAUAAUCUCUCUACUCCUAUUCAAGAUUUCUCUAUUUAUGCAUCCAAGGAUUGGAUGAGACUUUUUGCCCACAGUUUUGCACUGUCGCUACUAUUGGGGUCAAAUAUCAACUUUUUAAAAUAAUAGAUUUCAUUACUUACGUCACUAGUAGUAGCACCAGAUAUUAAAUCCAAUAGAAUUUUUUUAAAAUCAAAUGCACUUUUCACUAUUAAUGUCAUUUGCUUGCUUUUUAUUAUUCAUAUUGCAGGAGUCCCUAGGAGCCCCAGGCAUGGAUCAGGACUCUAUUGUUCUACGUGCUGUACAAAUACAGAACAAAAUGAUGGUCCCUUCCCUAAGGAGCUUAAAAUCACAUCCAAGCUUUUUGCACUUCUGCCUGGAUAAUUAAAUCAAUCUUGUGAAUUUUACAUUUGUGGCAAAGGCCCAGGCUGCGAAUCAGGAAACCUGAGUCUGUUGACACACUAGGUGAACUUUGGCAAGUCAUUCUUACCUCUCUGAGCCUCAGUUUUUGCCAUCUACAUGUUAGAAACAGCAGUGGUUAUACACUUUUGUUAAGCCUUAAGAUAUAUUAGGGCUGUCAAUUAAUCGCAAUUAACUCACGUGAUUAACUCAAAAAAGUAAUUGCAAUUUAAAACAGUGACCACGAUUAAUCGCAAUUUUAAUUGCACUGUUAAAUGAUAGAAUACCAAUUGAAAUUUAUUAAAUAUUUUUGGAUGUUUUUCUAAAUUUUCAAGUAUAUUGAUUUCAAUUACAACACACAAUACAAAGG